GGGACACCUUCCUUCAUUGAUGUGGGUUGCAAUUGCUGCUAAAACCUGGGAGUCAAAAGCAACGAGGGGGGUGGGGAGCCGCCAUUUGCAAAACCGGAAAUGAUUAAAAUCUCAGGGUUGAGACCAUUCCCAUUAAGUUAAGGCUUGCCAAGACCACAGUUCCUGCUUCUGUUGUCUACCCUGAAGAGCAUAGAGUAGAGGUUUGUCUACCAUAAGGUUGGCAGUAGAAUCUCUCCAGCUAUUGAAGAGCACAAGGGAAGAGUGAGUCAUUGGCGUGGCCGGCACCGGGGAAGCGCGCUAAUUUGAGAGGUCAGCAGCGAGUCCAGCUCAAUGGCCUAGUCUCGCAGGCUGAGGCUCGGACCCUGCCGGCCUCCGUCCUCUUCCGCUCGCCUCAGGUACAGCCCGGCGGAUCCCUCCGCCGCAGCGUGCGCUCCCGGUAGCGCCGCGAUCGGCUCUUCGGCAAUACCCGGAUGGAAGCGUAAUGGCCGCCAUCAGGGACUCGCAGGCAAUGGGGACCACGACAGAUAUCGUCUCUUUUGAUCACUGUUCCUGAUUGUGGCUUUGUCCAAGCAUUAAAUUGCGUGCCUUUUGUUCCUUGAAGAAGGAGGUACUGGGAUACCACAGUAUCAUAUAAUUCCUCUCACCAAAUACACUGGUGCUAACGAGUCCCAACUCAGCCCCUGGACCCAUCUCAGAACUCUGGAUUCAUUCUCUUCCUUCCCAUACCUCAGCCCAAGCUUUCUAUCUCCUCAAAGGGUACCACAUGAUCUUACGCUCAAGUCCUCACUUUCUAGAAUCUCAAGGUAUGUUCAGGGAGAGAGUGGGCAGAUUUAUGUCCUUUACUUUCUU
rnacentral:lncRNA from 1 species